rnacentral:rRNA from 1 species
GACGUAGGGCGCGAGCGUUGUCCGGAUUUAUUGGGCGUAAAGAGCUCGUAGGCGGCUUGUCGCGUCGAAUGUGAAAACCCACGGCUCAACUGUGGGCUUGCAUUCGAUACGGGCAGGCGUAGAGUUCGGUAGGGGAGACUGGAAUUCCUGGUGUAGCGGUGGAAAUGCGCAGAUAUCAGGAGGAACACCAGUAGGCGAAGGCAGGUCUCGCUG